GAUGAAGAACGUAGCGAAAUGCGAUAAGUAAUGUGAAUUGCAGAAUUCAGUGAAUCAUCGAAUCUUUGAACGCACAUUGCGCCCGCCAGUAUUCUGGCGGGCAUGCCUGUUCGAGCGUCAUUUCAACCCUCAAGCCCAGCUUGGUGUUGGGGAUCGGCACAGGCGCCCUCGGGCGCCCGCCGUCCCCUAAAUCUAGUGGCGGUCCCGCUGCAGCCUCCUCUGCGUAGUAGUUUUCUCCUCGCAAGGGCAGCUCGGUGGCGACCUCGCCGUAAAACCCCCAACUUCUGAAAGGUUGACCUCGAAUCAGGUAGGAAUACCCGCUGAACUUAAGCAUCUCAAUAAGCGGAGGA
rnacentral:misc_RNA from 1 species